AAUAUUGGACAAUGGGCGAAAGCCUGAUCCAGCCAUGCCGCGUGAGUGACGAAGGUCUUCGGAUUGUAAAGCCCUUUUGGCGGGGACGAUAAUGACGGUACCCGCAGAAUAAGCCCCGGCUAACUUCGUGCCAGCAGCCGCGGUAAUACGAAGGGGGCUAGCGUUGUUCGGAAUUACUGGGCGUAAAGCGCACGUAGGCGGAUUGUUAAGUUAGGGGUGAAAUCCCGGGGCUCAACCUCGGAACCGCCUUUGAUACUGGCAAUCUUGAGUCCGGAAGAGGUGAGUGGAAUUCCUAGUGUAGAGGUGAAAUUCGUAGAUAUUAGGAAGAACACCAGUGGCGAAGGCGGCUCACUGGUCCGGUACUGACGCUGAGGUGCGAAAGCGUGGGGAGCAAACAGG
rnacentral:rRNA from 1 species